UACGUAGGGGGCAAGCGUUAUCCGGAUUUACUGGGUGUAAAGGGAGCGUAGACGGCAGGGCAAGUCUGGAGUGAAAGGCAGGGGCCCAACCCCUGGACUGCUCUGGAAACUGUCCGGCUGGAGUGCAGGAGAGGUAAGUGGAAUUCCUAGUGUAGCGGUGAAAUGUGUAGAUAUUAGGAGGAACACCAGUGGCGAAGGCGGCUUACUGGACUGUAACUGACGUUGAGGCUCGAAAGCGUGGGGAGCAAACAGG
rnacentral:rRNA from 1 species